rnacentral:rRNA from 1 species
AGCAGCCGCGGUAAUUCCAGCUCCAAUAGCGUAUAUUAAAGUCGUUGCAGUUAAAAAGCUCGUAGUUGAAUUUCGGGGUCAGUAGGUUGGUCGUGCCACCGGUACGUACUGGUCUCACUGAUUCCUCCUUCCUGAUGAGCUGUAAUGCCAUUAAUUUGGUGUUGCAGGGAAUCUGGACUGUUACUUUGAAAAAUUAGAGUGUUUAAAGCAGGCUAACGCUUGAAUACAUUAGCAUGGAAUAAUGAAAUAGGACGUUCGAUCCUAUUUUGUUGGUUUCUAGGAUUGACGUAAUGAUUAAUAGGGAUAGUUGGGGGCAUUAGUAUUCAAUUGUCAGAGGUGAAAUUCUUGGAUUUAUUGAAGACUAACUA